AUGCUGCAGGUUUCAGGUAAUAACCUCACUGGCACCAUCCCAACUUCUCUUGCCAAUAUCACGACACUAACCCACAUUACCUUCUCAUAUAAUCACAUCAGGGGAAAUAUCCCAAGUGAGUUUGCAGAUUUGUCUAGCUUGCAAUACUUGUAUGCAGCUGCCAACCAGCUAACAGGCAGAUUUCCACAAGCCAUCUUGAAUCUUUCUACUCUCAUUGGCCUUGACCUUGGUCCCAAUGGUCUAAGUGGACAGGUACCACCAAAUCUCUAUGCCUCUCUGCCCAAUCUCCAGAUACUUGUAUUAGCCGAGAACUUCUUUCUAGGAAACAUUCCCAGUUCAUUCACUAACGCUUCCAAUAUAUAUGAUGUUGAUUUAUCAAUCAACAACUUCACCGGAUUGGUGCCCGCCACGAUUGGCAGACUUACAAAACUCUCGUAUUUGAAUCUUGAACAAAAUCAACUCCAAGCUAAUAGCAAGCAAGAUUGGGAGUUUAUGGACAACUUAGGCAACUGCACAGAGCUGCAGAUGUUCUCCCUGAGUUGGAACCGUCUAUCAGGGCAUGUACCAAGUUCUAUAGGUAACCUUUCCAAUCAACUCCAAAAACUAUACCUUGGAGAAAAUCAACUAUCAGGAGAUUUUCCUUCGGGCAUACAAAACCUUCACAACCUUAUUCUAUUAUCAUUGGGGGCGAAUCACUUUACGGGUGUGGUUCCAGAGUGGAUUGGGACUAUUAAAACUUUGCAACUAGUAGAUUUGGGAGGAAACUACUUCACCGGGGGUAUUCCAUCAUCCUUGUCAAACUUGUCUCAAUUAGGAUGGCUAUAUCUAGACUCGAACCAGUUCAUUGGUCAUAUACCACCAAGCCUCGGAAACUUUCCAAUGCUUCAAUGUUUGGACAUUUACAACAAUAAUCUUAAUGGUAAAAUUCCAAUGGAGAUCUUCAAAAUUCCAACAAUGUUCAUACUUAAAUUAUCUUCCAACAUCCUUGAUGGACAACUUCCUACCAACAUUGGAAAUGCUAAACAACUCGUACAUUUGUUACUUUCAUCAAACAAGCUAUCCGGAGAUAUUCCAAACACUUUGGGUGAUUGUGAAAGUUUAGAAGACAUCGAGCUAGGCUCGAAUAUUUUCAGCGGAAGUAUUCCUGCUUCACUAGGCAACAUAAGCGGCCUCAAAGUUUUGAAUUUGUCUGCCAAUAACUUAAAUGGGUCAAUACCAACAUCUCUUGUCAACCUGCAUCUUCUUGAGAAACUAGAUUUGUCAUUCAACCAUCUAAACGGAGAGGUUCCAACAAAAGGGAUAUUUAAGAAUGCAACUAUUGUGUGGAUUGAUGGAAAUCAGGGGCUUUGUGGUGGAGUAAUAGAGUUACACAUGCUAGCAUGUUCUGUUAUGCCUUUAAAUUCAAUUAGGCACAAGAGAUCUGUGAUGCUCAAAAUAAUUACUCCAAUAGCCUGA
rnacentral:rRNA from 1 species